rnacentral:rRNA from 1 species
GAGGAACGCUGGCGGCUUUCCUAAUACAUGCAAGUCGAGCGAACAGACGAGGAGCUUGCUCCUCUGACGUUAGCGGCGGACGGGUGAGUAACACGUGGAUAACCUACCUAUAAGACUGGGAUAACUUCGGGAAACCGGAGCUAAUACCGGAUAAUAUAUUGAACCGCAUGGGUCAAUAGUGAAAGACGGUUUUGCUGUCACUUAUAGAUGGAUCCGCGCCGCAUUAGCUAGUUGGUAAGGUAACGGCUUACCAAGGCGACGAUGCGUAGCCGACCUGAGAGGGUGACAGGCCACACUGGAACUGAGACACGGUCCAGACUCCUACGGGAGGCAGCAGUAGGGAAUCUUCCGCAAUGGGCGAAAGCCUGACGGAGCAACGCCGCGUGAGUGAUGAAGGUCUUCGGAUCGUAAAAAUAUGUGAUUAGGGAAGAACAAAUGUGUAAGUAACUAUGCACGUCUUGACGGUACCUAAUCAGAAAGCCAAGGCUAAAUACGGG